GCGACCGGCGCACGGGUGAGUAACACGUAUCCAACCUGCCGUCUACUCUUGGACAGCCUUCUGAAAGGAAGAUUAAUACAAGAUGGCAUCAUGAGUCCGCAUGUUCACAUGAUUAAAGGUAUUCCGGUAGACGAUGGGGAUGCGUUCCAUUAGAUAGUAGGCGGGGUAACGGCCCACCUAGUCUUCGAUGGAUAGGGGUUCUGAGAGGAAGGUCCCCCACAUUGGAACUGAGACACGGUCCAAACUCCUACGGGAGGCAGCAGUGAGGAAUAUUGGUCAAUGGGCGAGAGCCUGAACCAGCCAAGUAGCGUGAAGGAUGACUGCCCUAUGGGUUGUAAACUUCUUUUAUAAAGGAAUAAAGUCGGGUAUGCAUACCCGUUUGCAUGUACUUUAUGAAUAAGGAUCGGCUAACUCCGUGCCAGCAGCCGCGGUAAUACGGAGGAUCCGAGCGUUAUCCGGAUUUAUUGGGUUUAAAGGGAGCGUAGAUGGAUGUUUAAGUC
rnacentral:rRNA from 1 species